UUGGAAGUAAAAAGUCGUAACAAGGUUUCCGUAGGUGAACCUGCGGAAGGAUCAUUACCGAGUGAGGGCCCCUCGCGGCCCAACCUCCCACCCUUGUCUCCAACACCUGUUGCUUCGGCGGGCCCACCGGGGCCACCCGGUCGCCGGGGGACAUCCUGUCCCCGGGCCCGCGCCCGCCGAGGCGCUCUGUGAACCCUGAUGAAGAUGGGCUGUCUGAGUGAUAUGAAAAUUGUCAAAACUUUCAACAAUGGAUCUCUUGGUUCCGGCAUCGAUGAAGAACGCAGCGAAAUGCGAUAAGUAAUGUGAAUUGCAGAAUUCCGUGAAUCAUCGAAUCUUUGAACGCACAUUGCGCCCCCUGGCAUUCCGGGGGGCAUGCCUGUCCGAGCGUCAUUUCUGCCCUCAAGCACGGCUUGUGUGUUGGGUGUGGUCCCCCUGGGGACCUGCCCGAAAGGCAGCGGCGACGUCCGUCUGGUCCUCGAGCGUAUGGGGCUCUGUCACUCGCUCGGGAAGGACCUGCGGGGGUUGGUCCCACCACAUCUUUUUAAAGGGUGACCUCCGAUCAGGGAGGAGUUACCCGCUGAACUUAAGCAUAUCAAUAAGCGGAGGAAAAGAAACCAACCGGGAUUGCCUCAUAACGGCGAGUGAAGCGGCAAGAGCUCAAUUUGAAUCUGGCCCCUUUGGGGUCCGAGUUGUAUUUGCAGAGGAUGCUUCGGGUGCGGUCCCGUCUAAGUGCCCUGGAACGGCCGUCAUAGAGGGUGAGAAUCCCUCUGGGAUGGGGGCCGCCCCGUGUGA
rnacentral:sRNA from 1 species